rnacentral:lncRNA from 1 species
CAAAUUAUUCUUUCUGGGUAUGCUGAGUCCAAAUAUCUCUUGCAUGUCUAACUCAUCACAAGACAUGCCCAAUGGAAGCAUCCAAUCAAAACAAUGCACCAAUUGUGCCAAAACAAGACUAACCGUUGUUAAACCCAAAUGAAUCCCGGGGCACCCUCUUCGACUCGACCCAAAUGGUAAAAUUCGAAAGUCCUUUCCACGAAUGUCUACAUUGUUAUUCUCAAACCUUGUAGGAUCGAAAAUCUCGGCAUUGUCCCAAACAUUAGGAUCUCGCCCUAUAGCCCAUGCAUUUACUAUAAUCCUUGAUUUUUUCUUUAUAAAAUAACCAUCAAUGAUAACAUCUUCUUUGCACUCACGAGGUACUACCAAAGGUACAACCGGGUGCAACCUUAGUGUUUCCUUCACCACCAUAUUCAAAAAAGAUAACUUGUCUAAGUCACUUUCCUCCCCGUAUUUGUUCAUUCCAACCACAUGUUUUAGCUCGUGUUGAAGUCUCUUCAUCACACUUGGGUGCCUCAAGAGUUCUGACAUGGCCCAUUCUAAUGUUGUGGAAGAUGUUUCUAAUGCUCCACCGAUCAUGUCUAAUAUGAUAGCUUUGAUGUUUGUCCUAUCAAUAACGUUUUGGUUGUUGUGAACAUCAUUUGGUUGGUGCAUGAGUGAGAGCAAAACCUCCACAAAGUCCAUGUUGCCUUUUUUUAUCUUUGUCAUUUGAAUUACUCUCUUUGUCUUGGAUUAUUUGCUCAAAGCCUUUGUCAAGUGACUUGCUUGCUUUCUUUAAUCUUGUUGUUAUUCCCUAAGCAAUAGUUGCAUGAAUAAAUACCAAAAAAGUAACAAAACAUAAUUAUACAUAUUCUUUCAUAUAGACAUAGAUAUGCCAACAAACAUUUCAAUUUAUUUAUCUAUGGAGUUACAUGUAAAACCCUAAAUUUCAUUCCAUGAUAAAAAUAUGUGAAAAGUUAGAUAAACACUAAUUUUAGUAAAUUUAUCCUUAUACAAAUCUUUGCUGGUCCAACUGCAUUAAUUGGCAUCAAAAUUUCUGAAACCAAACAAUAAUUUGAAUAUUAGUUAAAGAGAGAAAAAAAAAUUGGGGUUAGAUUUUGAGUUGGCUCGGGUCAGGUCAAGCUAAGUCGGCCCAAACCAAGGUCCACCCGAAUCAACCCAAGUCUAGAUCGAGUCAAAUCAGUCCAGUCGAGGUCGAGCAAAGAUGACACGAGACUAAGUCCAGCCAAAAUGAUCAGAGCUCUAGUUGGGUUGAGUCGACUUGGGCCUGGAUAGAACUCAAGUUGAGCUAAGUCGACUCGAGUCCAGAUCCACACAAGUUGAUUCAAGCCCAUGUCAAGCCGAGUAGAACAAGGCCCAUGUCGAACCAAGUCAACCCGGGCCCAUGUCGAGCUGAGUUGACCAGGACCACGUCGAGCCGAGUCGAACCGAGCCCAUGUUGACUCGAGUCGACCUGGGCCUAUGUUGAACCGAGUGUGCCUAAUCCCAUGUCGAGUCAGUUCGGGUCCAUAUCAAGUCGAGUCAGCCCCGACCCAUGUCGAGUAGAGUCGACCCGAGCCCGUGUCGAGCUGAGUCAACUCGGGUUCAUGUCGAGCCGAGUUAACCUGAACCCAUGUUGAGCCGAGUCGAUCCGAUCUCAUUUCGAGUCGAUUCGAUCCUGACUCUUUUCGAGCCGAGUCGAUUCGAGCCCAUGUUGAGUCAAGCCGAGUCGAUCCGAGGACAGUGAAUUUUGUGUUGCUUCCAGACCUAUUUUCGCUAAAGUAAAACAAGUUGAAAUGAACAUUUUUCUCAACUGUACCCAUAAAGAUUAAUGACUAAAUCAUAGAGAAAAACAAAGAAUAAGAGAUCUUUAGGGUAAAAAUGAACUUACUCUGUUUGAAAAAUAGGAUAAAAAUGUAUCCUAACUCCUCAGCAUGGCGUGAUCAAAUUUUAGAAUAAAUAAGGUACGAGAGAAAAAUUAAAAGAGAAAAAAGAAAAGAGAGAGAAACCAUACAUUUUUUUUCCAUGUGUUUACAUCAUAUAAUUCCUUAUUACAUAUAUUAAAAACAAUUACACUAAAUUAUUAUUUUAUUUUAAUCACGUAUAUUACACGUUAAUACACUUUUUCAUAUACAUUUAUAUAGAAAAUAUAAUAAUUCCAAUAUCAUAUAAAAUCUAUCCUUAGGACACAUCCCAGCCAUUAUGGUUUCCAUCAAGUUAAGACCCUUAACAUUGUCUUUUGCCAGACCCAAAAUUCAAAAAUCAGAAUAUGCAUAUCGUGUUUCCUGAGUAUGUACCCUAUACUAUUUUAUAUGUAAUCUUUUUGUUCUUGUGUGGAUUGGAAAUGCCCUCUCUCAUGCUCUAGUAGGCCUUGGACUCAUAAAAUUAAAGAAAUUUUAAUUUUUGGAUUUUUAUAAAAAUAUAAAAAUAUAUAUAUAAAAGAUUAUUUUCAAAUUAGUAUUUUAAUAUUUGAUACUUAAAAUUAUUAAAUGUCAAUUUAGUUAUUUCAUUCCACCUGUUUAUAGAAUCAUAUAGGUCUUUGAAAUGAAGACUUAGAUUAAUACAUAUAAAUUGAGUUAAUCUCGUAUUAGUUAAACCUUUCAUACCUUCAUUAUUAGUUAAUUAUUAGUUAAACCUUUCGUACCUUAAUUAUUAGUUAAUUAUUAGUUAAACCUUCCGUACCUGAUUAUAUUAAUUUAACUUUUUUAGGAGUAUGUUGAGGCAGGUUCCCAUGAUAUGCUCGACUAUAAUUACUGAAUAAUUCUCAAUCGUUGGUUCCAUGGACGUGUUGAUAAUGGAUAAUUUAUGAUGCCUGCACACUACUCUAAAAUGGUGUGUCGGUGUCCGAUACUCGUAUGAUACCGGUAGGAUAUGUAUUUGUGAAGUGUCCAAUUCAAAAAGUAUUUGUUAGAUUUCUAAUAAUUCUAGUACGGUUCUAACACAAUUCUAAAAAGAAAAAUACAUUAAUUUUUUAAAAAAUCAAAUUUUAUUGUAUAAAUUAUUAUUAUGAUUAUAAAAAUAAAAAUAAAAAUCCUUGUAAAUCAAUCAUAAAAAACAUCUUUCUGCUCCAAAAAAUAAUUUGGAACAUACUUGUGCACAUAAAUCUUUAUUGUCAAUUUAUAUAAUUCAUAAUUAUAUAAUAUAUAAAUUCGUGUCCCCGUGUCCUACAUUUUAGAGAUUUUACGUAUCUCCGUGUUUGUGUCCGUAUCGUAUCAGUGUUCGUGUCAAUAUCAGUGCUACAUAGUGUACAACACACUUUUUAAUACUUACAAUUUUAUAAAUAAUGAUAAUUAACAAUGACAAAAUAUAUUACUGAACUAGAUACACUUGAGAUUAUAUAUAAUAUUUUAAUAAUUUGUUUACUUAUCAAAUGUGAUAAAUGUUAGAAAAGAUGGUUUUAAACUAGAGGGGGGUGAAUUGUUUAAAGGGGUUUUCGCAAACUUUUCAAAGCUAGAAUGAACUUAUUUCAGAAACCAAUUGAUUCAGCAAUUCAGUUAGCCAAAACAGCAAGCAAAACUGUAAUACCAGAAAAAACAAUCGGUUGUUUCUUCGAAACAAUCGGUUGUUUAUACCAGCAAACAACAAACAAACUGAAAUUAAAGAGUUAGGGAUAGAAAGAUUGUACACAGUUGUUUAUACCGGUUCACUCCAAACUAGAGCUACAUCCAGUCUUCUCAGAAACCCUGAGGAUAUCCACUAAGCAACCACACCUUGAUCACUUACACCACAACCAAGAGAAUGACCUUGAACACCUCAAGAAACACACUCUCCUUGGCCAACACUAAGAUUGCUGAUCUUGAACACCUCAAGAACACACAGCCAAUCUCAGCACAACACACACACGAAUUGUUCAGCAGAUUACAAAGAUUACACUUGUUACAUAUGGAAAUCUGAAAUCAAUACAAGUAGAAUCCUAUUCAACACCUUGAUCAAUCUCUCAACUCUUUAGCAAUCUCAGAACUCUUUUGAAAAACUCUUAGAUGAAAAACUUUGUUUCAAGAUUCUUAAUACAUCAAAACAGUUUUUCAGAAUAUAUCUAAGAAUAUAGUUUGUUAUCAAAUCUUAACAAACUCUUAAUUGCAUUUAAAAUAGAUUGGUCAAAGCAUUUAAUGACUGGAGCGUAUUCAGUUAAAGCAUUUAAAGCUCAGUCAAAGAAAACAGUUUUUCUAUUAUGGUUUUAAAACAAACAAUCGAUUGUUUCCUCGAAUCAAUCGGUUGUUUUGUUACUUAACAAAAUACAUCAUUCAAAAACAGUUUUCAAACUUUCUCAAAACACCUAAGUGUAAACAAUCGAUUGUUUCGACACAACAAUCGGUUGUUUCAACUUAGUUUUUAAAACAUUUUGCUUUGUUAAAAUUGAGAUGCUAAUUGCUUUGAGAUUUAAUCUAAGGAUUGAUUACAACAUUAAACUACCCCAGAACAAGGCUUAAACCAGCACAGCAGCAUCAAGCAAAGCAGAGGCUUCAUCAUCCUUCAAAGGAUUUGGAUUCUUCAAAACAUUGAACACCACUUGGUUCAACAAUAAAUAUAUUAUAAAAGAUGAAAAGGUGUAAACAACUAAAAAUUGCAUAAAUGUCAUACCUAAUAUUAUUUUUGAGUUUAACUAACCCAAAAAAGUCAGAAAACAAAGUUUACAGUGUAGACAAAUACUUUCAUAUUUUUAUUGAUGUAGUUUUCGUGUAUUAAAAAACAAAAGUCUCCCACUUCAAAGAAUUUAUAUAUUACCAACAUUUUUUUCCAUUAUUAGAUCUUAACUUUAGUUUGUGAUACUAAAAUAUUUGCUACUCUUUUCUAUUGCGAGAGGUCAUUUGUAGUUAGUGGCUUGUAAGAACAUCUAUCAGUUUUAUUAAUAUUAUCACAGAAAAUUCCUUAUUUUUUUUCAUGAGAGAAAAUUUUCUAUUCAAUCUUUGUUAGAAGAUAAAUUAAAAUUUUCUCUACUAUUUUGAUAUUCAAGUCUUACAUGGUGAAUGAACUCUUUCAUAUAUUCAUUGUCCUUCAUUCUAACAAUUUCAAAUUCUCUUAUCAAAUUUUGAACAUACAUCUUCUUGGAUGUAUCACUUUUUUGAAACUCCUCCUGCAACUGAACCCAAGUUUCCUAGACGAUUUAUAGAGUAACGAUUUUAAUAAAAACAUUACCCUACUAAAUUGUUUAUUUUAUGAGAAGUGUAUUUUUUUUCCUUUCUCAUUUCAUCAUUAUGAUUUUAAAUCUGAGUAAAGUCAUUUCUAAAUGAACUAUAAUACCAUGAAAGAGAAAUAGAAUAUGCUUGAAUUGCACAAGUUCAUGAGGAAACCAAACUUAAGAAUCAAGGUACCAUUUUAUUCAUUAUGUGAAUAGUUAAGAGCUGGAUAUAAAGUUGAUAAACAACAUGAAAAUGGCAAAUAACCAUUAAAGAUUAGUGUGUUCUCUGCUAUGUGGGAAGUUUGGACAUUUGCAAAAGAAUUGCCCCAAACGUAAAGCUUGGUUUAAAAUAAAGGUGAGCAUAAUGCUUAUGUAUGUUUUGAAUCAAACUUAACUGAAGUUCGCUAUAAAAUUUGGUGGAUUUAUUAUGGAUGUACAACUGAUGUUUCUAAUAUGAUGUAUGAAUUCCUUUUAAUCCAAACCAUAAACACAAAUGAGAAAUUUGUCUUCAUGGAAAUAGAGUGAAGGUUGCAUGUAAAGCUAUAGGACUUAUCGUUUAAUCAUUAACACUGGAUUUUAUUUAUAUUUGUUUGAUAUUUUUUAUGUACCUAACAUUUCUAGGAAUUUAGUUCUUUGUCUAAACUUGAUGUUGUUGGAUACUCUUAUAGGUUUCAUGUUAUGGAUAUGUCUAUUUACUACAUGAGAAAUCUCAAGCAGUGAAUGUCCUAGAAAUUUAUAUAAAUGAAGUGGAAAGACAAUUAGGCAGAAAUGUGAAAAUUGUCAGGUUGGAUACAGAUGGUGAAUAUUGUGGAAAAUAUGAUGAAAGUCAGACCCUAUAUGAUCCGAUGUAAAACACUUCAAAAAAUUUACCUGGCUUUUUUAAUGUCGUGGUUAGGGAGGUCAUACAUAAAUGGUCGAGGUCACUAGGAAUAAUAAAAUGUGUUACUCAAUUAAAUAAAUAAAUAAUGUAUUAUUGGAAUAAUUACUUAUUUUUCUAUGUUUUAAAAAAAUAAAUUUCAUUUUGACAAGCAUGAUAUUUAUUCUUUUAUAAUGAUUAUAUGAAUUUUUCGAGUUACACGAGAUAUUCUAAAUCUAUUUAUUUUGACUAUUCUACUAAAUGAGAUAAUUUUUUCAUUUUUCUUAUAGUUUUUUCUUUUUUUUUUUCCUCCAUUUGUGUGAAAAAAAAAUAGUAUGCGAAUGGAAUCAAGAUAUUUCAACGUCAGAAUCUUAAACUGAAAAUAGUCUUUAUUAUUAAAUUAUAGAAUUAGUUCUCAUUUUAACAACCAUUCAUUGGUGGUGGUAUAAGAAAAAAGCUUAAUAAAAGACAAUCAUGUGUACUCCUCAGUCACUCAAAAUAAAAUGCAAUGAUAACAAUGCAAAAUAUGGGUACCACAAUUGCAAAAUCAAAGAAUCUCCCACUUGUCAUAGUUUAUGACACACACAAAAAUAGUUAUACUCAAACCAUUAAAUUGAUAAAAACACUUGAUCGCUUAUUCAAAUUAUUUGAACACAUGAUUAAAUGUGUCACAUGUCUCAAACUAGAAUUAAAAUCAACCACAAACUUUGCAUUAUUAUCCUCUCUUUUAACCUAACUAGCUAGUCGGUAAACUGGUCUAGUUAACAAAUGAUUCUUUCUUGGUAUGCUAAGUCCAAAUAUCUCUUGCAUGUCUAAUUCAUGAGAAGACAUGCCUAAUGGAAGCACCCAAUCAAAACAAUGCACCAAUUGAGCCAAAACAAGGCUAAGCGUGGUUAAACCCAAAUGAAUCCCGGGACACCCUCUUCGACCAGACCCAAAUGGUAAAAUGCGAAAGUCCUUUCCACGAAUAUCUAUG